rnacentral:rRNA from 1 species
CACGUAGGGUGCGAGCGUUGUCCGGAAUUAUUGGGCGUAAAGGGCUUGUAGGCGGUUUGUCGCGUCGGGAGUGAAAUCCACUGGCUUAACUGGUGGCUUGCUUUCGAUACGGGCAGACUGGAGGUAUGCAGGGGAGAACGGAAUUCCUGGUGUAGCGGUGAAAUGCGCAGAUAUCAGGAGGAACACCGGUGGCGAAGGCGGUUCUCUGGGCAUGUCCUGACGCUGAGGAGCGAAAGUGUGGGGAGCGAACAGG